GUCAGAAUUUUCCAAAUUACAUAAAUCUAUAGGAAAGUAGGCUGUGCUUGUGCUUGUCAGGAACAGGAGACAUAUCGCCUUCACUUCACAAAAAAUCUCUCAGAAAAUGGACUUUCAACUUUACCUUCUGGUCAUACCAACUGUUGGCACAUUGAUUUACGGGAUUGUAAACUGGAUUACCCAUUCCCGGAAGCGCAAUGAGUACUCGUAUGUCGCAAAUAACAUUUUAAUGGAAGAUUAUUUCGGGUCCAUGGUGCUGCGCAGCCAAGAGAGGGCUAAGCAAGAAGCCAAUGCAGAAGACCCAUCUUUGUUUACACAGGAGGCAUUGUUGUCUGCUAUUCGACUGCAGCUGGUGCAACCAGACAUUGAUUUAGCCGAAAACAUAUAGUUUAUUUUGAUAAAUACAAUUAUUUAUUUUAUAUGAAAAAUAAUGGUUAAUAUUUUGCCGGAAUUAAAAAUGUAUCUUUAGCAUUUGAAAAGACUAAACCAAA